rnacentral:rRNA from 1 species
UAAUGCAUAGGAAACUGCCCAGUAGUGGGGGAUAGCCCGGGGAAACCCGGAUUAAUACCGCGUACGCCCUUCGGGGGAAAGCAGGGGAUCUUCGGACCUUGCGCUAUUGGAUGUGCCUAUGUCGGAUUAGCUAGUUGGUGGGGUAAAGGCCUACCAAGGCGACGAUCCGUAGCUGGUCUGAGAGGAUGAUCAGCCACAUCGGGACUGAGACACGGCCCGAACUCCUACGGGAGGCAGCAGUGGGGAAUAUUGGACAAUGGGGGCAACCCUGAUCCAGCCAUGCCGCGUGUGUGAAGAAGGCUUUCGGGUUGUAAAGCACUUUCAGUGAGGAGGAAAAGUUGGUCGUUAAUACCGGCCAGCCUUGACGUUACUCACAGAAGAAGCACCGGCUAACUCCGUGCCAGCAGCCGCGGUAAUACGGAGGGUGCAAGCGUUAAUCGGAAUUACUGGGCGUAAAGCGCGCGUAGGUGGUUUGAUAAGCGAGAUGUGAAAGCCCCGGGCUUAACCUGGGAACGGCAUUUCGAACUGUCAGGCUAGAGUAUGGUAGAGGAGUGUGGAAUUUCCUGUGUAGCGGUGAAAUGCGUAGAUAUAGGAAGGAACACCAGUGGCGAA